ensembl:lncRNA
CCUAGUGGUUAGAGCAGGUAGCCUAGUGGUUAGAGCAGGUAGCCUAGUGGUUAGAGCCAGGUAGCCUAGUGGUUAGAGCCAGGUAGCCUAGUGGUUAGAGCCAGGUAGCCUAGUGGUUAGAGCAGGUAGCCUAGUGGUUAGAGCAGGCAGCCUAGUGGUUAGAGCAGGUAGCCUAGUGGUUAGAGCAGGUAGCCUAGUGGUUAGAGCAGGUAGCCUAGUGGUUAGAGCAGGUAGCCUAGUGGUUAGAGCAGGUAGCCUAGUAGUUAGAGCAGGUAGCCUAGUGGUUAGAGCAGGUAGCCUAGUGGUUAGAGCAGGUAGCCUAGUGGUUAGAGCCAGGUAGCCUAGUGUUUAGAGCCAGGUAGCCUAGUGGUUAGAGCCAGGUAGCCUAGUGGUUAGAGCCAGGUAGCCUAGUGGUUAGAGCCAGGUAGCCUAGUGGUUAGAGCCAGGUAGCCUAGUGGUUAGAGCCAGGUAGCCUAGUGGUUAGAGCCAGGUAGCCUAGUGGUUAGAGCCAGGUAGCCUAGUGGUUAGAGCCAGGUAGCCUAGUGGUUAGAGCAGGUAGCCUAGUGGUUAGAGGCAGGUAGCCUAGUGGUUAGAGCAG